GCUAUCAUAGCUCAGUAGGUAGAGCGCAGCCUUGGUAAGGCUGAGGUCACGGGUUCGAUUCCCGUUGUUAGCUCCA
rnacentral:tRNA from 4 species